AUUGAACGCUGGCGGCAGGCUUAACACAUGCAAGUCGAACGAGUGGCGGACGGGUGAGUAAUGUUUGGGAAACUGCCUGAUGGAGGGGGAUAACUACUGGAAACUGUAGCUAAUACCGCAUACCAUCGGAUUUGCCCAGAUGGGAUUAGCUAGUUGGUGGGGUAACGGCUCACCUAGGCGACGAUCCCUAGCUGGUCUGAGCGGAUGACAAGCCACACUGGAACUGGGACACGGCCCAGAGUCAUACGGGAGGCAGCAGUGGGGAAUAUUGCGCAAUGGGGGCAAGCCUGAUGGAGCCAUGCCGCGGGAAUGAAGAAGGCCUUCGGGGUGUAAAGUGCUUUCGGCGGGGAGGCGUUACCCGCAGAAGAAGCACCGGCUAACUCCGUGCCAGCAGCCGCGGUAAUUC
rnacentral:rRNA from 1 species